rnacentral:rRNA from 1 species
UGGGGAAUAUUGCACAAUGGGCGAAAGCCUGAUGCAGCAACGCCGCGUGAGCGAUGAAGGCCUUCGGGUCGUAAAGCUCUGUCCUCAAGGAAGAUAAUGACGGUACCCAAGGAGGAAGCCACGGCUAACUACGUGCCAGCAGCCGCGGUAAUACGUAGGUGGCGAGCGUUAUCCGGAUUUACUGGGCGUAAAGGGAGCGUAGGCGGAUGAUUAAGUGGGAUGUGAAAUACCCGGGCUCAACUUGGGUGCUGCAUUCCAAACUGGUUAUCUAGAGUGCAGGAGAGGAGAGUGGAAUUCCUAGUGUGGCGGUGAAAUGCGUAGAGAUUAGGAAGAACACCAGUGGCGAAGGCGACUCUCUGGACUGUAACUGACGCUGAGGCUCGAAAGCGUGGGGAGCAAACA